rnacentral:rRNA from 1 species
CACGUAGGGCGCAAGCGUUGUCCGGAAUUAUUGGGCGUAAAGAGCUCGUAGGUGGUCUGUUGCGUCCGCUGUGAAAACUCGGGGCUUAACCCCGAGCCUGCAGUGGAUACGGGCAGACUAGAGGUAGGUAGGGGAGAAUGGAAUUCCUGGUGUAGCGGUGAAAUGCGCAGAUAUCAGGAGGAACACCGGUGGCGAAGGCGGUUCUCUGGGCCUUACCUGACACUGAGGAGUGAAAGCGUGGGGAGCGAACAGG